rnacentral:rRNA from 1 species
UUGACCUCGAAUCAGGUAGGAAUACCCGCUGAACUUAAGCAUAUCAAUAAGCGGAGGAAAAGAAACCAACCGGGAUUACCUCAGUAACGGCGAGUGAAGCGGUAACAGCUCAAAUUUGAAAUCUGGCUCCUCUGGAGUCCGAAUUGUAAUUUGUAGAAGAUGCUUUGGGUUGUGGGUUCGGCCUAAGUUCCUUGGAACAGGACGUCAUAGAGGGUGAGAAUCCCGUAUGUGGCCGAGGCCCGCGCCUAUGUAAAGCUCUUUCAACGAGUCGAGUUGUUUGGGAAUGCAGCUCAAAAUGGGUGGUAAAUUUCAUCUAAAGCUAAAUAUGGGCCAGAGACCGAUAGCGCACAAGUAGAGUGAUCGAAAGAUGAAAAGCACUUUGGAAAGAGAGUUAAACAGUACGUGAAAUUGUUGAAAGGGAAGCGCUUGCACCCAGACUUGGGCGCUGCCGAUCACCUUGAGGUCUCCUCGAGUGCACUCGACAGCGCACAGGCCAGCAUCGGUUCGGGUGGCUGGAUAAAGGCCGUAGGAACGUAGCUCUCUUCGGGGAGUGUUAUAGCCUACGGUGCCAUGCAGCCCAGCCGGACCGAGGACCGCGCCUUCGGGCUAGGAUGCUGGCGUAAUGGGUGUAAGCGACCCGUCUUGAAACACGGACCAAGGAGUCUAACAUCUAUGCGAGUGUUUGGGUGCUAAACCCAUACGCGGAAUGAAAGUGAACGUAGGUGAGAACCCCCUUUGGGGCGCAUCAUCGACCGAUCC